GCCCCGGAAGUCCCGCCCCUAGCCAGCCUCCGCUUCCUCGAUGCCCACCCGGUGGCUUCCAACAGCUCCUCCAACUAGGAAUCUCUUUUGCUUCCAGGCCUUGCCGGAAGAGACCUUUUGAUUGGCUGAGCUUCCCCAUCUACCUGAGGCCGUAGGAGGGCGGGGACCAGCUCCGUGGCGGGAAGCCGGUCACCCAGCAGGAUGUUGUGCUCAGGGAACACCACCACAGACCGGUGUGAUACUCAGGGGCCUCGGCUCCACCAUAACCUGACGGUGGGCAACAGAUCUCCCUGGAGCACGAGAUCCUGCUGCACCCGCGCUAUUUCGGCCCCAACCUGCUCAACACGGUCAAGCAGAAGCUCUUCACCGAGGUGGAGGGGACCUGCACCGGCAAGUAUGGCUUUGUAAUUGCUGUCACCACCAUUGACAAUAUUGGUGCUGGUGUGAUCCAGCCAGGCCGAGGGUUUGUCCUUUAUCCAGUUAAGUACAAGGCCAUUGUUUUCCGGCCCUUUAAAGGGGAGGUCGUGGAUGCUGUUGUCACUCAAGUCAACAAGGUUGGACUUUUCACAGAAAUUGGACCAAUGUCCUGCUUCAUUUCUCGACAUUCCAUCCCAUCAGAGAUGGAGUUUGACCCCAACUCCAACCCACCAUGUUAUAAGACAAUGGAUGAGGACAUUGUGAUUCAGCAGGAUGAUGAGAUCCGCUUGAAGAUUGUGGGGACCCGUGUGGACAAGAAUGACAUUUUUGCUAUUGGCUCUCUGAUGGACGAUUACUUGGGGCUUGUGAGCUGAGCACCGGGGCCUCCUGCUCUGUUUGGUCCUCAUCUAGGAGCUGUGACGGUCAUGCUCCGCAUAUCGUCCAGAAGCCUAGUCUGGUUGCUGUGGGGAGGCAGAGAAGGUUCCUUGUCCACAGAAAAUAUCUCGUUCUUCUUGAUGCUUAGCCACUCCCCAGGUUUUUGACUGUACAUUCUAACCAUAAAAGGUCCUUGUUCUCAUGGA